rnacentral:rRNA from 1 species
UACGGAGGGUGCAAGCGUUAUCCGGAUUCACUGGGUUUAAAGGGUGCGUAGGUGGGCAGGUAAGUCAGUGGUGAAAUCUCCGAGCUUAACUCGGAAACUGCCAUUGAUACUAUCUGUCUUGAAUUAUCUGGAGGUGAGCGGAAUAUGUCAUGUAGCGGUGAAAUGCUUAGAUAUCGUCAAGAACACCGAUAGCGAAGGCAGCUUACUAGACUGUAACUGACGCUGAGGCACGAAAGUGUGGGGAUCAAACAGG